rnacentral:rRNA from 1 species
UUUCUUACGGGGGGCAGCAGUGGGGAAUAUUGCACAAUGGGCGAAAGCCUGACCCAGCAACGCCGCGUGAAGGAAGAAGGCUUUCGGGUUGUAAACUUCUUUUCUCAGGGACGAACAGAUGACGGUACCUGAGGAAUAAGCCACGGCUAACUACGUGCCAGCAGCCGCGGUAAUACGUAGGUGGCAAGCGUUAUCCGGAUUUACUGGGUGUAAAGGGCGUGUAGGCGGGGACGCAAGUCAGAUGUGAAAACCACGGGCUCAACCUGUGGCCUGCAUUUGAAACUGUGUUUCUUGAGUACUGGAGG